CUACGGGUCGCACCAGUGAGGAAUUUUGCGCAAUGGGGGGAACCCUGACGCAGCAACGCCGCGUGAGUGAUGAAGGCUUUCGGGUCGUAAAGCUCUGUCAAGUGGGAAGAACCUAUGCAGUGUUAAUAUCACUGUAUACUGACAGUACCACUGAAGGAAGCACCGGCUAACUCCGUGCCGGCAGCCGCGGUAAUACGGGGGGUGCAAGCGUUAUUCGGAAUCAUUGGGCGUAAAGGGCACGUAGGCGGCUUGGUAAGUCAGAUGUGAAAGCCCGGGGCUUAACCCCGGAAGUGCAUUUGAUACUGUCAGGCUUGAGUAUGGGAGAGGGAAGUGGAAUUCCUGGUGUAGAGGUGAAAUUCGUAGAUAUCAGGAGGAACACCGGUGGCGAAGGCGACUUCCUGGACCAAUACUGACGCUGAGGUGCGAAGGCGUGGGUAGCAAACAGGAUUAGAUACCCCUGUAGUC
rnacentral:rRNA from 1 species